GCGACCCAGUCACGUAUAUACGAAUGUGUAGAGAUGCUGCCCCUGUGUGAGAAUCCCCCUAUGAGUCUGCGGCGCCCCUGAUCUGUAUACUGUGUGAAGAGAUGAACAUUCUGGAUGGCCGAAGCCUAAAACUAGUUCAUGUAUAGUUUAGCGUACACUUUCGCGGCGCAGUUGAAAUCAAUUGUUGUAACUGAUUUAUCGUCGCCAUAUUUUUCUUACUUAAAAUUGAUUUGUGAUGUUGUGUGGAGGCUCAAUAUGUUGAACUACAGUCAAAUAAAGCUCUGAACUCUUAUUGGCUUCAUUAUGAGCGGAAGAAAGAGAGAAAGAAGUUACGACAAACCAUCGCAGAAUAUCACAAGGUACAUGUGUUCGCUGAUCGCGAAACAUCAGCAUCAGGUUGAAAAGAUAUAAGAAUAAACGAAAAGAGUAUUUUA